UGAAAGACAUGGGUAGUGAGAGGUGGCUGAAGUUAUCAUCUCACUACCUUGUCUUUGAAG
rnacentral:pre_miRNA from 1 species